CCGUGCUAGGCGGGGGGCUAGCGGUACCCUGUAACCUACAAUCCGCUACAGUAGGGUCGAACACCUUUUUGAGGGACCUUGAGGUGGAGCUGCUCUUGGCAAGCACCGAUGAAGGAUGAGUCCUACGCAAUGAAGACUUUUGAACCCCGUCAGGUCCGGAAGGAAGCAGCGGUAAG
rnacentral:SRP_RNA from 1 species